UGGGGAAUUUUGCGCAAUGGACGAAAGUCUGACGCAGCGACGCCGCGUGUGCGAUGAAGGCCUUUGGGUCGUAAAGCACUGUCGACCGGGACGAAAACUCACGGACUAAUACUUCGUGAGUCUGACGGUACUGGUAAAGGAAGCACCGGCUAACUCUGUGCCAGCAGCCGCGGUAAUACAGAGGGUGCAAACGUUGCUCGGAAUUAUUGGGCGUAAAGCGUGCGUAGGUUGUUUGAUAAGAUAUAUGUGAAAUACCUGGGCUCAACCUGGGAAGGUCAUAUAAGACUGUCAGACUCGAGUAUGGGAGAGGGUAGAGGAAUUUCCGGUGUAGCGGUGAAAUGCGUAGAUAUCGGAAGGAACAUCGGUGGCGAAGGCGUCUACCUGGCCUAAUACUGACACUGAGGCACGAAAGCGUGGGGAGCAAACAGGAUUAGAUACCCAAGUAGUCCCUGAGCGGGCUGGCAAGGCGCAU
rnacentral:rRNA from 1 species